rnacentral:snRNA from 1 species
GGAUGGUGAGGGUGAUCUGGCUGUGACAUCUGCCACCCCAUUGAUUGCCAGGGUUGAUCGGGCGAUCUGGUUGGCUAAGCUAAGCGGGUGUCCCCUUCCUCCCUCACCACCCCAUGUGCUUCCCUCCCAAAGCUGGGCUCUCCAUCUAAGAGGAGCCUUUCCCAAACAGAGACAGAUGAAUCUUCAGUCGAGGGUAUAGCUGCGCUCUCCUGCUAGAAGCUCCAAACAAGUUCUCAAGGUCCAAUAACAACUCAACCCCUGGCAAAAUUUUUAAAGAUAAAGUUAAUUUACUGAAAUACAUCUUUUAUGCCAUAUAAUAGGUAUAGUAUAUUGAU